CACCUGCAAUUCUGUUACUUUGCUUAGGCCGGAAAUUACAUUUGAAUGUACAAAGUCCAGAAACUUUGUAGUUCAAGGUAAAAUUGGAGUAUUUUUGCACCCAGAUCAAGCACAAAGCCAUUUUGCUUGGAUCAUGAACCAGGCCAAUGGACUGACUGAGAGACAUUGUUUGUUGGAAGUCUGGCGUGUGUAGAUCUACUUCUGAACAAAAUUUAUUUUGCACAGUUUUGAAGUCUGGGACGUCCAAAAUCAAGACACAAGCAGGUCUGGUGUCUGGUGAGAGUUGCUUGUUCUGCUUCCAAGAUGGUGCCGUGGUACUGUAUUCUCAGGAGGGCACAGAUGCUGUUUUCUCACAUGGCAGAAGAAAUGGAAGGGACCAGUUCAUCCAACAUCCCUUAGAGAUGCCAGCAUCAGCUGUCUGCUUACCCAUCCUGCAGUGGAGGUUUGAAUCCCGGCUUCCAGUCUCUUUCUCUGACUCAGAGACAUCAUGGCCAGCUGAACACCGUGCCCUACUCUGAGAUCCCAGAGAGGAGAGGGCAUCAUGCCUCACAGGGCCCGUGGGAAAGGAAGAGUUAUCUGGGACACGCAUGCUCAACCAGCUGGUGGGAAGCAAGAAAAGAAGAGAGAGAGCAAGAGACCAAAGAGUCAAAGCUUUCAUUGGGUUCCAAAGCAUUACCCAAGCAGGUUUCCCGAAGAGAGCUCUAAACAGUGAGUUUAAAGCAAGCAGGUACAAGUUCCAGAAGAUCACACUGUGACUGACAGGAGGUCACUAUGCCAUAUCUACGCAGUCCAUGUGGGGUACAAGGGUCUGAGGAGUGAGUCACAUAGGCUGUUUCUAGCUGUCCUAUAGGAAGG